AACCUCCUCAGUUAUCACCCAGCUUCUCAAACCUGUUCUCUUUCCAUUUCUUGAGGAUUUUGCAGUGGACUUUCCUGGGGUGCUUAGUUCUCAGCUAGACAAGAAGAUGGCUCCUUCGUUAAACCAAUGGGUCUUGGACAAAAGCCUUGGCAGGACUUGAUUCUCCUCCUGUUGCUAUGCCCACGGCUGCGGAAUCAGCCUCACCAGGAAGGACCAGCCAGAUCCCAGCUCUCUGGAGGAAUCUUCCUCUCCAUCUGGAUCCUGAGGAAUCAUAGAAAACAAAAUGUUGGCUGAAUUCCAUGGGGAAAAAUAAGAAUUUCAGCAGUUUCACCUAAUUCCAUUACAUCAUCAUUUUCCAAAUUCACCAGUUGUCGUACCAUAUUGCAAAAUGUCACCACCAAUUUCCUUAUUUUUAAAUACUAUGAAAAAAAGAGACUUUUGUUGGGUCCCUGGAGAGAAAGCAGAGGAUGAACUUGUACAAGAGACGUGUCACGUACAGUCGUUGUGGGUGCUCACCUCCUAUAAAUGCUGAUUGCCCAAGUGAUUAUAAGCCCAUUGCAGGUGGAGACUCUGCAACUGAAGACAUGGUACCACGCUGUUUGCGAAUGUGGAAAGGGGAGGAACCGUGGGAGAUUAGCAAGCCUAAGUUUUCAAUGGAAACGGUAUCAUUCUCUUCCUGCCCCAGUCUCCAGGGCACUGCAGAAGGGGAAGCAGCCCCAGGCCUGGCCUGAAGGGAGACUGAACUACUAUUCGUGUAUGAAGCCAGUAAGGGGUAACAGCACAGAACGCCCGGACUGGUCUCCUAAUUCCAACACCUGCUACAUAUUUGGUCUCACAGAUUUCAAAUAAAUUGUUUAAGCUCUUUUUGCCUCAGUUUCCUCAUUGGUCAAAGGAAGAUUAAUAGUAAUAUCAUAUCUGAGGAAUAAAUAAGAUGCCUAAGAAAUACA
rnacentral:lncRNA from 1 species